rnacentral:rRNA from 1 species
UACGUAGGGGGCAAGCGUUGUCCGGAUUUAUGGGGCGUAAAGAGCGUGUAGGCGGCUUUACAGGUCCGUUGUGAAAACUCGAGGCUCAACCUCGAGACGCCGGUGGAAACCGUAAAGCUAGAGUCCGGAAGAGGAGAGUGGAAUUCCUGGUGUAGCGGUGAAAUGCGCAGAUAUCAGGAAGAACACCCGUGGCGAAGGCGGCUCUCUGGGACGGUACUGACGCUGAGACGCGAAAGCGUGGGGAGCGAACAGG